rnacentral:rRNA from 1 species
AACGAACGCUGGCGGCAUGCCUAACACAUGCAGGUCGAACGAAGGCUUCGGCCUUAGUGGCGCACGGGUGCGUAACGCGUGGGAAUCUGCCCUUGGGUUCGGGAUGACAGUGAGAAAUUACUGCUAAUACCGGAUGAUGACUUCGGUCGAAAGAUUUAUCGCCCAGGGAUGAGCCCGCGUAGGAUUAGCUAGUUGGUGGGGUAAAGGCCUACCAAGGCGACGAUCCUUAGCUGGUCUGAGAGGAUGAUCAGCCACACUGGGACUGAGACACGGCCCAGACUCCUACGGGAGGCGGCAGUGGGGGAUAUUGGACAAUGGGCGAAAGCCUGAUCCAGCAAUGCCGCGUGAGUGAUGAAGGCCUUAGGGUUGUAAAGCUCUUUUACCCGGGAAGAUAAUGACUGUACCGGGAGAAUAAGCUCCGGCUAACUCCGUGCCAGCCGCCGCCGUAAGAC